UACAGGGGGUGCAAACGUUGCUCGGAAUCAUUGGGCGUAAAGCGCACGUAGGCGGUUACUUAAGUCGGAUGUGAAAGCCCUUGGCUCAACCGAGGAAGUGCAUCCGAAACUGAGUAGCUUGAGUACUAAAGAGGGUCGCGGAAUUCCCGGUGUAGAGGUGAAAUUCGUAGAUAUCGGGAGGAACACCAGUGGCGAAGGCGACUACCUGGCCUGUUCUUGACGCUGAGGCGCGAAAGCUAGGGGAGCAAACGGA
rnacentral:rRNA from 1 species